rnacentral:rRNA from 1 species
UAGUGAUUCCUACGGGAGGCAGCAGUGGGGAAUAUUGGACAAUGGGCGAAAGCCUGAUCCAGCAAUGCCGCGUGAGUGAUGAAGGCCUUAGGGUUGUAAAGCUCUUUUACCAGGGAUGAUAAUGACAGUACCUGGAGAAUAAGCUCCGGCUAACUCCGUGCCAGCAGCCGCGGUAAU